GACGUAGGGGGCAAGCGUUGUCCGGAUUUAUUGGGCGUAAAGAGCUCGUAGGCGGCUAAGUAAGUCGGGUGUCAAAGCCCCAGGCUCAACCUGGGAUCCCACCCGAUACUGCUUUGGCUAGAGUCCGGUAGGGGAGCGUGGAAUUCCUGGUGUAGCGGUGAAAUGCGCAGAUAUCAGGAGGAACACCAGCGGCGAAGGCGGCGCUCUGGGCCGGAACUGACGCUGAGGAGCGAAAGCGUGGGUAGCAAACAGG
rnacentral:rRNA from 1 species